rnacentral:rRNA from 1 species
CCUACGGGAGGCAGCAGUGGGGAAUCUUGCGCAAUGGGCGAAAGCCUGACGCAGCAACGCCGCGUGCGGGAAGAAGGCUUUCGGGCUGUAAACCGCUUUCAGCAGGAACGAAAAUGACGGUACCUGCAGAAGAAGGAGCGGCCAACUAUGUGCCAGCAGCCGCGGUGAUACAUAGGCUUCAAGCGUUGUCCGGAUUUAUUGGGCGUAAAGAGUUCGUAGGCGGUCGAGUAAGUCGGGUGUGAAAAUUCUGGGCUCAACCCAGAGACGCCACCCGAUACUGCUUGACUUGAGUUCGAUAGGGGAGUGGGGAAUUCCUAGUGUAGCGGUGAAAUGCGCAGAUAUUAGGAGGAACACCGGUGGCGAAGGCGCCACUCUGGAUCGAUACUGACGCUGAGGAACGAAAGCAUGGGUAGCAAACAGGAUUAGAUACCCUGGUAGUCCAUGCCGUAAACGGUGGGCACUAGGUGUGGGUUUCUAUUAACGAAAUCCGCGCCGUCGCUAACGCAUUAAGUGCCCCGCCUGGGGAGUACGGUCGCAAGACUAAAACUCAAAGGAUUGACGG